AGAGUUUGAUCAUGGCUCAGAUUGAACGCUGGCGGCAUGCCUUACACAUGCAAGUCGAACGGCAGCGCGGGGCAACCUGGCGGCGAGUGGCGAACGGGUGAGUAAUAUAUCGGAACGUGCCCUGGAGUGGGGGAUAACGCAGCGAAAGUUGCGCUAAUACCGCAUACGAUCUAAGGAUGAAAGCAGGGGACCGCAAGGCCUUGUGCUCCUGGAGCGGCCGAUAUCUGAUUAGCUAGUUGGUGGGGUAAAGGCCUACCAAGGCAUCGAUCAGUAGCUGGUCUGAGAGGACGACCAGCCACACUGGAACUGAGACACGGUCCAGACUCCUACGGGAGGCAGCAGUGGGGAAUUUUGGACAAUGGGCGAAAGCCUGAUCCAGUAAUGCCGCGUGAGUGAAGAAGGCCUUCGGGUUGUAAAGCUCUUUUGUCAGGGAAGAAACGGUGUGGGCUAAUAUCCUGCACUAAUGACGGUACCUGAAGAAUAAGCACCGGCUAACUACGUGCCAGCAGCCGCGGUAAUACGUAGGGUGCAAGCGUUAAUCGGAAUUACUGGGCGUAAAGCGUGCGCAGGCGGUUUUGUAAGUCUGUCGUGAAAUCCCCGGGCUCAACCUGGGAAUUGCGAUGGAGACUGCAAGGCUAGAAUCUGGCAGAGGGGGGUAGAAUUCCACGUAGCAGUGAAAUGCGUAGAGAUGUGGAGGAACACCGAUGGCGAAGGCAGCCCCCUGGGUCAAGAUUGACGCUCAUGCACGAAAGCGUGGGGAGCAAACAGGAUUAGAUACCCUAGUAGUCC
rnacentral:rRNA from 1 species